CGAUAUCCACAUAAUUUUCAGGGUCAGAAAUCUUUGGCCUUGGAAACGGCAAUUGGGUUGUGGCAGUUAUUCUUUGCAGAAAUGCAGUGGCCAUUGGUUGAGCAUUGGUGUCAGUUUCUCGAGGACCGGAAUAUGAAGGUUAUCUCACGUGAUGUUUGGCUACAGCUACUGGAAUUUGCAAAGACUGUGGACUCUACAUUAUCAAACUAUGAUGCUGAAGGAGCUUGGCCAUGUCUUCUUGAUGAAUUUGUUGAAUACUUGAUUGAAAAGGGUCAUUGUGCGAAAAAGUCGGAUGAAUGAUUGAAUCCUGGAGUACCGAUGGAGUGCUGUCACUUUCAAUGAUGUGGAAAACACUUUUUUACUUUUUGCUUCCAAGAACAACUCCUUGUACAAAAUAAGUGAGGUAAAGGACCACUUGGAAUUGUAGAUGAGUCUUGCGUGUUACUGUACUAGUCCUCACUGUCGAUUCAAAGUUAUCAUUUCUUGUUUGGAUUUACUUGAUUAA